ACAUCUAUGCCAAUAUAUCUGUGCAAAUGGCACACAAAUUUACAUUAAAAGAAGUUCAUGUAAAAAUAAGGAAUCUCUCUUAAAAAUAUAGAGAGGAAAAGAAAAAGUUGGACCCUCGGGGAGCAGUCCAUCGGGAUGGAAACAUUUUAAUGCGGUUCAUCAAAUUAUCGGAUUGACGGCAGCCAAUAUUGUUAAAAUCUACGAAUCAUAUACUGUGGAUCACCAGAACCAAUGUCAUCUGAACCGGUGUGUACGCCAGUAAUGACAUUGAUGAACUCGCCAUGAGUGUCGACAUUGGGUAGUUCAACAUCAGCAGUGGUAAACAAAUUUCAACAUCAGCUGUCUAAAUGCACAAGUCUGCCGUCUGUCACCAUAAAAUUUCAAUGCGCUUUCGCCUUGCUUAAUGCGCAUUAAUUUUGCUAGUCUGUCAGGGCUAUUACGCGGUUAUAGCCGAGUUAACAACAGCGAGAGUUAGGGUGUGUUCGUCGUGAAAUUACUGCGACAAUGGUGCCUUAGAUGAGAAAGCAUCACGUUCUACGAAAAAUUCGAGCAACACUUCCAAAGAAACACGUUCUGUCGUCAAAUUGUUGCGCAUCACUAGCGUAAAAAAAGUAUCAAAAAAAUUUUCAAUGCGCGAUAAGAUCGAGGAAGAAUUCAGUCUUUAGACAAGAAACGAUUUCAUCUACAUCUUCUUUCUCUUCUUUUCUUAAAUUGUCACAUCCAUUUUCCAACAUUUCGUCAACAAAAUAAUUAUUGCAGUAUUCAAGCAAAGUACCAGCUGGGCAUCAGUAACAGAGCAUCAAGUUGGCAACAAGAUUGCAGUAAGUUGCAACCAGAUAACAGCAGCCGCAUUUGACUAGUAAAAAUAGCUGUAAGAAGUUAUAUUAGGGACAGUUUUUUAAGAAUGUCAAUAAAGUGCACGCGUUUCGGCAUAGUGAUAAAAAAAUAUUUAUUUUCACUCAUAUUAUUUGGUGGCUCAAGUCGAUCCAACUCUUGACUGCAGCCAAAUAUCCUCAAACUGCAAGAUGAUAAAAUUAAAAUUGUGCGGCUUUGAAGAAAAACAUAAAAUUAAUAUCUGAAAGUCUUAUAAAGUUGCGUAAAAAGCAAACCUUGAAAUAGCAGGCGGUCUAAACCGAUAAAAAGUGUGAAUAAAUGUAUACAAAAUUUAUGUGAAUACAAAUAAAUUUUGUUU